ACAUAAUCAUCGGAAAACACCAUUCCAUAAUCUUCAGCCGCCAUGGAAUCAGACGAACCAACCACCACAAUAUGCACAGUGGUCGCCAUUGAUCACACAAAUCUGCAUUACACAGUGUGUUCCUUGUGUGAAAAAACUAUACAUGAAUCCGUUUGCAAGCAUUGCACAUUUAGUAGAAAUAGUGCCACUGCCGCUCCUUCUCCUAAACGUCUGUUUCGUGUUCUUAUGUCGAUAGCAACCGAUACAAAUGUGUUUGUUGUAGUGUUUUUUGAUAGGGCUGCUAAGGUUUUGUUUGGUUGUUCUGCUCAAGAUUUCUUUGAGUUUUCCAAGAUUCAUCCUUUUUCAGGUGAGACUGCAAGUAAGAUUCUGGAGGGAGAGAUGUUGCGGGUGACACUUUCGAAACCAAAAAAUGGUAAUGCACAACAUCAAAGAGUUGUAUCAGUUGUUCCUUUGAAAACCGGUUUUCGUCCUGUGAUAGAGACAUUGCGUGAACUAUAUCGAAAUAGUUGAGGAAGGAUCUUGUAGCUGGGAUUUAGCAGAUGAAAAGGAACAGUGACUUGUAAGGACAUGGAGAACAAGACCUCUUUCUUUCUUUCAGGUGAACAAGCUCCUGUAUAAAACAAUUCUUCCAUCUAUGGACUACAGUGUGUGUAAUAUUAAUACUCGUAUAUCACAAGCCAGAUGAGCAAGGUCACUAAACGAUGCACCCGAUUCACCAAGAACUGGAAGCCUUAACAUCGAGUUUUGGGAUCAAAUUUAGUUCCUUAAUGAGUUCAACUCCGAUGUAACAUACAAGAAUGGAAACUGACUAACAAAGACGAGAACAAUGUAAAACGCCGACUGAUGCUACUGUGAGCCUGCAAAACAAUCAAAGAGGCGGAACCACAUCAUUCUGAAGCGAAGUAAGUUUCCCUGUGAUCCACAGCUCCAACAUCCUUAGUGCAACCCUGGGUUGAUCCAUAGGAACCAUGUGUCCAGCAUUCUGAACCUUGAUGAAAGUGAGUGGCCCAUGGUUCUUUAAAAUGCCAGCUUCUUUUCCGUCAACUAAGUACGAAACAUUUGAAGCUGCAACAAAUUCUUUCUGACCCGACCAAGCCAUGGCGUGCACCCAUCUCCAGUUCCCUGCAAACCACUCAUUGGUUUUCAGUAAAAAGGCAUAAUGGUUGAAAUCUAAUUUUCUAGGAUGGAAGAAAUCACAUACCGAGCCAGUUGCAAAUAAGAUCAAAUUCUCCUGUGUAUAUGAGCAGUUGAAUAUUCUGUUCCAGAAGGUCCGGAAUCCCGAGUGCCAGAUUUCUCAUCCAAUCAUUGAUCAUUGCAUCCUGCACUCUGUUAUUACACGAAACAAAACGUAUAUUGCUGGGUACCCCUAAUGCUUUUUUAACUGAUACUUCUUCUAGAAAUUUUUCCACUUGUGAAAAGUCAUAGCAGUAGCGCCCCUCACAUUUCUUCCUUAUAUCGUAAUACUGCCAUUGGAAAAAAAUCAUGAAUAAUACUGCAAUAAACUUUUUGUAUCUGGUAAGUUUGUAUAUAAAGAGUUUUUUACA